rnacentral:rRNA from 1 species
CCUACGGGAGGCAGCAGUGGGGAAUUUUGGACAAUGGGCGAAAGCCUGAUCCAGCAAUGCCGCGUGUGGGAAGAAGGCCUUCGGGUUGUAAACCACUUUUGUACGGAACGAAACGGUUCGCUUUAAUACAGUGGGCUAAUGACGGUACCGUAAGAAUAAGCACCGGCUAACUACGUGCCAGCAGCCGCGGUAAUACGUAGGGUGCGAGCGUUAAUCGGAAUUACUGGGCGUAAAGCGUGCGCAGGCGGUUAUAUAAGACAGUUGUGAAAUCCCCGGGCUCAACCUGGGAAUUGCAUCUGUGGCUGUAUAGCUAGAGUACGGUAGAGGGGGAUGGAAUUCCGCGUGUAGCAGUGAAAUGCGUAGAUAUGCGGAGGAACACCGAUGGCGAAGGCAAUCCCCUGGACCUGUACUGACGCUCAUGCACGAAAGCGUGGGGAGCAAACAGGAUUAGAUACCCUGGUAGUCCACGCCCUAAACGAUGUCAACUGGUUGUUGGGUGCAUUAGUACUCAGUAACGAAGCUAACGCGUGAAGUUGACCGCCUGGGGAGUACGGCCGCAAGGUUGAAACUCAAAGAGUAGUGGCGNGNGAGACGCGACGACGACGACGAGGAGGAGGAG